ACCAUGAGAUGUUUUCUACUGUAGAAACUUUCUCAUUAGAAAUAGCCCAUUUAUACAGGGGACUGGCUAAUGUUUUUCUAUGAGUAUCAUUAGCCAGUGUCUCAAAGUGGUGAAGAGUAAGUAUAUAGCAUCUUUCAAAAGACUGCAACCUGGAACAAGGAGAGACAAAGGGAAGGAGGAGUCUGGAGCCAUAUUGAAGAUGAAAUUGAGAUAUGGACUAGGUGGUGGAUCGUUUUUAUAAGAGGACAUAAAAGAGGAUGCUAAAGCUAAUUGCCACAAUCAGAACUCAAAGACCUAGCAAAUGCAAGACACUGGCCACCUCCCUGAACCUGGGCCAAGAUGAGGGUCUACACCUUGGCUUAGUUCUACUAUGAAAGACUUUCCUGCAGUAAAAGUUACCUGUCUGAAACAUUCAGAAGAGUGAAAAUGCCACAUCUCCAAUUUCCAGCAAUAUAUUUGUCUGCCAUGAUUUGGCCUGGAAGCUUAAGCAGGAAGACCACUUGGAGCCAGACUUCAGAGUGAUCUGUCUCUAAGGAAUAACUUUCAUAUUGCAGCGUUCGGUUUUGCAAUUCUUCCUAAGCUACUCUAAAUUCGCAGCAUAAAUCUGCAGAAAGACUUCACCCUCCACAUCAAACCCUUAUAAGGAUCCAUUUCUGCUCUCAUUUUAGAAUAUCUUUUCUAAUAGCUAAAGGCAGACAGAGGCAAACCAAGAAAUCCAGACUUUGCAUCAACGGGUUAAAUCAUAUGUCAAAGGUGCAACCAUAACGUAUUACAAGCUUCUCAUCACAUAAUACAUCACUCAAGAAAAAAUAUUUGGGCAGCUUUUCUAAUUCAUCUUCCUGGUGUUAAAGGAGCACAUCUCCAGUGUUCGUGUCUUCUGUUUCAAUUAAAGCAAUCAUGCCUACUC
rnacentral:lncRNA from 1 species